rnacentral:rRNA from 1 species
UACGUAGGGUGCAAGCGUUAAUCGGAAUUACUGGGCGUAAAGCGCACGCAGGCGGUUUGUUAAGUCAGAUGUGAAAUCCCCGGGCUUAACCUGGGAAGGGCGUGUGAAACUGGCAAGCUUGAGUCUCGUAGAGGGGGGUAGAAUUCCAGGUGUAGCGGUGAAAUGCGUAGAGAUCUGGAGGAAUACCGGUGGCGAAGGCGGCCCCCUGG